rnacentral:rRNA from 1 species
UACAGAGGGUGCAAGCGUUAAUCGGAAUUACUGGGCGUAAAGCGUGCGUAGACGGCAGCGUAAGUCGGGUGUGAAAGCCCCGGGCUCAACCUGGGAAUUGCAUUCGAGACUGCUCUGCUAGGGUGCGGAAGAGGGAAGCGGAAUUUCCGGUGUAGCGGUGAAAUGCGUAGAUAUCGGAAGGAACACCAGUGGCGAAAGCGGCUUCCUGGUCCAGCACCGACGUUCAGGCACGAAAGCGUGGGGAGCAAACAGG